rnacentral:misc_RNA from 1 species
GUGAAUUUUAGGGCGUCUACUUGUAGAGCCUGACCUCCACUCUCUAACACUGUGCAUUUAUUGGCGAAAUUUUUAGGGAUAAGGAAUUUUCGGAUUUCGGAUCACUAAAUUUUUUGCGGCUCAUUUUAUAACACUAGUCAAAGUAUGUAAUGAAAUAUCGAAACAAAAAAA